rnacentral:rRNA from 1 species
UACGGAGGGUGCAAGCGUUAUCCGGAUUCACUGGGUUUAAAGGGUGCGUAGGUGGGUUGGUAAGUCAGUGGUGAAAUCUCCGAGCUUAACUUGGAAACUGCCAUUGAUACUAUCAGUCUUGAAUUAUUGAUGGAGGUCAGCGGAAUAUGUCAUGUAGCGGUGAAAAUGCUUAGAUAUGACAUAGAACACCAAUUGCGAAGGCAGCUCACUACGCGAAUGAUUGACACUGAGGCACGAAAGCGUGGGGAUCAAACAGG